AUACCUUUCUUGGCCUUUUGGCUAAGAUCAAGUGUAGUAUCUAUUCUUAUGUGGGCCAUUGGCUCACUCAAUAUUAAUCUUAUUUUUAAUGGGGAAUGAUCAAUCACAAUAGCUUGCUAUUUGGGUCUUUGAGUGUCACCUUGGUGUUGCACUACUGCUUUGGCUUGGUGCACCUUUC
rnacentral:snRNA from 2 species